GGCACGUCUGCCUGGGUGUCACA
rnacentral:siRNA from 1 species